rnacentral:rRNA from 1 species
UGGGGAAUAUUGCACAAUGGGCGCAAGCCUGAUGCAGCCAUGCCGCGUGUAUGAAGAAGGCCUUCGGGUUGUAAAGUACUUUCAGCGAGGAGGAAGGCGUUGUGGUUAAUAUCCGCAACGAUUGACGUUACUCGCAGAAGAAGCACCGGCUAACUCCGUGCCAGCAGCCGCGGUAAUACGGAGGGUGCAAGCGUUAAUCGGAAUUACUGGGCGUAAAGCGCACGCAGGCGGUCUGUCAAGUCGGAUGUGAAAUCCCCGGGCUCAACCUGGGAACUGCAUCCGAAACUGGCAGGCUAGAGUCUUGUAGAGGGGGGUAGAAUUCCAGGUGUAGCGGUGAAAUGCGUAGAGAUCUGGAGGAAUACCGGUGGCGAAGGCGGCCCCCUGGACAAAGACUGACGCUCAGGUGCGAAAGCGUGGGGAGCAAACA